CGUAGGUGGCAAGCGUUGUCCGGAAUUACUGGGUGUAAAGGGCGUGUAGGCGGGGAGACAAGUCGGAUGUGAAAGCCCAUGGCUUAACUGUGGAACCGCAUCUGAAACUGUUUCUCUUGAGUACUGGAGAGGAAAGUGGAAUUCCAAGUGUAGCGGUGAAAUGCGUAGAGAUUUGGAGGAACACCAGUGGCGAAGGCGGCUUUCUGGACAGUAACUGACGCUGAGGCGCGAAAGCGUGGGGAGCAAACAGGAUUAGAUACCCUGGUAGUCCACGCUGUAAACGAUGGAUACUAGGUGUAGGAGGUAUCGACCCCUUCUGUGCCGGAGUUAACACAAUAAGUAUCCCACCUGGGGAGUACGGCCGCAAGGUUG
rnacentral:rRNA from 1 species